rnacentral:rRNA from 1 species
GAUGAACGCUGGCGGCGUGCCUAAUACAUGCAAGUCGAGCGAACGGACGAGAAGCUUGCUUCUCUGAUGUUAGCGGCGGACGGGUGAGUAACACGUGGAUAACCUACCUAUAAGACUGGGAUAACUUCGGGAAACCGGAGCUAAUACCGGAUGAUAUUUUGAACCGCAUGGUUCAAAAGUGAAAGACGGUCUUGCUGUCACUUAUAGAUGGAUCCGCGCUGCAUUAGCUAGUUGGUAAGGUAACGGCUUACCAAGGCAACGAUGCAUAGCCGACCUGAGAGGGUGAUCGGCCACACUGGAACUGAGACAGGGUCCAGACUCCUACGGGAGGCAGCAGUAGGGAAUCUUCCGCAAUGGGCGAAAGCCUGACGGAGCAACGCCGCGUGAGUGAUGAAGGUCUUCGGAUCGUAAAACUCUGUUAUUAGGGAAGAACAUAUGUGUAAGUAACUGUGCACAGCUUGACGGUACCUAAUCAGAAAGCCACGGCUAACUACGUG